AUUUUAGUUAUCUGCCUCUGUGAAAAACUACUUUUGUUUUUCCUCCAAGGUUUCCACUUCUGGGGAACUUGAGGCCAGAGACAACAACAGUAAUGGCAUCUAUCACUUGAUCACUUCCAAUACUUCUUGUGAACUGAGCCACAGACGGUACCAUAUCGCGCAGGGGUGUGGUUAUUACCUCUCUUGAGUGACGAGACAAGAUCAUAUCAGGGUAAAACUAUUGGGAGAAAUUAGCUGCUAAUCCCUCUUCUGGCUGAAAGGGCGUGAAUACUCACUGAUAAAGAAAGAAUCUGGAGAAAGUAUGUGGGAAGUUUGUCACCAUGGAACUGGUUAAAUGGCCAAGCCAACCACUGUACCUGAGGAGAUGCUGUGGAGGGCAACUUUGGUAUCAGUGAAUGGAGCAACCUAGAAAAGAAAACAUACACUGUAACAUACUAUAUAAAUUCAAGAAAAAUAUGAUGGCUAAAAUAAUUCUUCUGGGCCAACAGAUUUGACCAAAUGGGGCCAUUUUAAUGUCAAAUUAUUCUUUUUCCACUUAUGUAAUAAAA